rnacentral:rRNA from 1 species
GACGAACGCUGGCGGCGUGCUUAACACAUGCAAGUCGAACGGUGAAGCGCCUUCCUUUUUGGUGGGUGUGGAUGAGUGGCGAACGGGUGAGUAACACGUGAGUAACCUGCCCCCUUCUUCUGGAUAACCGCAUGAAAGUGUGGCUAAUACGGGAUAUUCUGGGUCUGUCGCAUGAUGGGUCUGGGAAAGAUAUUGUUUCGGUGGGGGAUGGGCUCGCGGCCUAUCAGCUUGUUGGUGGGGUGAUGGCCUACCAAGGCGGUGACGGGUAGCCGGCCUGGGAGGGUGGACGGUCACACUGGGACUGAGACACGGCCCAGACUCCUACGGGAGGCAGCAGUGGGGAAUAGUGCACGAUGGGCGCAAGCCUGAUGCAGCGACGCCGCGUGAGGGAUGGAGGCCUGCGGGUUGUGAACCUCUUUCGCCAGUGAAGCAGGCCUGCCUCGUUUGUGGGUGGGUUGACGGUAGCUGGAGAAGAAGCGCCGGCUAACUACGUG